rfam:Schistosoma mattheei strain Denwood, Zambia genome assembly, scaffold: SMTD_scaffold0000056
AUCCAGCUGACGAGUCUGAAAGAGGACGAAACGAGCGUCGUAGAU